rnacentral:rRNA from 1 species
CCUACGGGUGGCUGCAGUGGGGAAUAUUGCACAAUGGGCGCAAGCCUGAUGCAGCCAUGCCGCGUGUGUGAAGAAGGCCUUCGGGUUGUAAAGCACUUUCAGCGGGGAGGAAGGCGGCGAGGUUAAUAACCUCAUCGAUUGACGUUACCCGCAGAAGAAGCACCGGCUAACUCCGUGUCAGCAGCCGCGGUAAUACGGAGGGUGCAAGCGUUAAUCGGAAUUACUGGGCGUAAAGCGCACGCAGGCGGUCUGUCAAGUCGGAUGUGAAAUCCCCGGGCUCAACCUGGGAACUGCAUUCGAAACUGGCAGGCUAGAGUCUUGUAGAGGGGGGUAGAAUUCCAGGUGUAGCGGUGAAAUGCGUAGAGAUCUGGAGGAAUACCGGUGGCGAAGGCGGCCCCCUGGACAAAGACUGACGCUCAGGUGCGAAAGCGUGGGGAGCAAACAGGAUUAGAUACCCCGGUAGUC